ACUCUCUUCUUCGUCUUCUUCCUCAUUCA
rnacentral:sRNA from 1 species